GAUGAAGAACGUAGCGAAAUGCGAUAAGUAAUGUGAAUUGCAGAAUUCAGUGAAUCAUCGAAUCUUUGAACGCACCUUGCGCCCUUUGGCCAUUCCGAAGGGCAUGCCUGUUUGAGUAUCAUGAACACCUCAACUCUUUAUGGUUUUCCAUGAUGAGCUUGGACUCUGGGGGUUUUGCUGGCUCACAGUCGGCUCCUCUAAAAUGAAUCAGCUUACCAGUGUUUGGUGGGUAUCAUGGGUGUGAUAACUAUCUACGCUUGUGGUUUUUCCACCAGGUAACCUUCAGCAGUGGAGGUUCGCUGGAGCUCAUAGAUGUCUCUCCUCAGUGAGGACAGCCCUUUGAAUGUUUGAUCUCAAAGCAGGUAGGACUACCCGCUGAACUUAAGCAUAUCAAUAAGCGGAGGA
rnacentral:misc_RNA from 1 species